UGUUCUGCAUGCUGCUAGCUCACUGUCACAGCGUCAGGGCUUACUGGAACACCUGAAUGGAUCCAAGGCGUCAUUAAUGAGAUUAGCAACACCUGUGCUCAGUCAAAUUAUCUGCUGUGAAAAAGGUCUGUGUUGACAGUUCUGUGUUAUUUGCACAGCAGCACUUGGCCCUCAGCUAUGUGUUCUUCCUGGAGCCAUUUUACUAUCUCAAGUGAUCCAUGUUUGAACUGUCCUGUGAUUUUAAAGACAUGGUGAAUAUUUGAAUCUUCAGGGACCAUUCAAGAGCUCCUGAUGUAUCCCCUGGGCGUCCUCAGACUACAGUUUACAGAGUGCUUUGCCUAAGAGGAAGUAUAUCUGUUAUGAGGAGCUGGGGAGUGUGUUAAACAUGGAACCAUUGGAUGUACUGUUUGAACUGGCUCAUAACUGUGAACUCCUUCCAUCCAUCCAUCAUCUCUGGGGUCUGGCAUCAAGUCCUGGGUUUGGAGAUUGGCACAGAUGCCAUGCAGCUACAACUACAGAGUUCAACUGGUUGAGCAUUCGGGGGACAUCAGAUCACCGUGGAGCAGUGUGACAAUGAUGCUGACGCUCUGAUGGAGAGGGCGGCAUUUUCUGCUGCAACAGGCGACUAUGAUGAAGAACCAUUGGAUGUACUGUUUGAACUGGCUCAUAACUGUGAACUCCUUCCAUCCAUCCAUCAUCUCUGGGGUCUGGCAUCAAGUCCUGG